CCUACGGGUGGCAGCAGUGAGGAAUAUUGGUCAAUGGACGAGAGUCUGAACCAGCCAAGUAGCGUGAAGGAUGACUGCCCUAUGGGUUGUAAACUUCUUUUAUAUGGGAAUAAUAUGUUCCACGUGUGGGAUUUUGUAUGUAUCAUAUGAAUAAGGAUCGGCUAACUCCGUGCCAGCAGCCGCGGUAAUACGGAGGAUCCGAGCGUUAUCCGGAUUUAUUGGGUUUAAGGGGAGCGUAGGUGGAUUGUUAAGUCAGUUGUGAAAGUUUGCGGCUCAACCGUAAAAUUGCAGUUGAAACUGGCAGUCUUGAGUACAGUAGAGGUGGGCGGAAUGCGUGGUGUAGCGGUGAAAUGCUUAGAUAUCACGAAGAACUCCGAUUGCGAAGGCAGUUCACUGGACUGCAACUGACACUGAUGCUCGAAAGUGUGGGUAUCAAACAGGAUUAGAUACCCGAGUAGUC
rnacentral:rRNA from 1 species